rnacentral:rRNA from 1 species
AUGGGCUCUCGUCGCUGGCCGGGGCGGCGCCCAUGGAGGCUUGGGGCGGCUCAUGGACCUCGCCGGCGGCGAGGUCUAGCACCUCCUCUUUCUCUAAUUGGUGCUGGGGCGAGCUCGAUUUGGAUAGAUUGGGGCGAGCCCGAUUUGGAUCUCGGGGCGACCAGGAUGAGCUCCAGCAUGUGCACGUUGCCCCGCUGUCGCCGUAGUCGGGGCGCCCGCCGAAGGGCCGCGUGGGCAGCCGGGGAACCAGGUCACGGUCAAAGGUGCCGUCAUGGGGCACGUCAAGGUGUUGUCGCCGUCGUCGGGGCGCCCGCGAAGGGCCACGCUGGCGGCCAGGGAACUAGGUCGAAUUGGAUGUCACCGGAUCUGCCGUGGGGUGCGGAGGUGGAAGCGGAUGUCGCCGGAUCCAGUGUGGGGCGCGGCGGUGGAGCCGGUGAACCUGUGGUGGCGCGGCGGGAUCCCGGGCCGCGGUGGUGGGCGGCAGGGAGUGCCGGCGGAAUGAAAGCAUACAGUGAACAGAAGCCUGCUAGAACUGAGCUGCUCAGGAGCCCGCUCAUCUCCUUUCUUUAUGAGAGGGGGUGGCGUCUGAACAUCAAUCGGAGCGGCUUCCCGGGCCGUGAUGAAGAGGCACAUUUCUUGGCCGCCUCAUUCUUGAAUUCCAUGGCAUUAAGCUGUUACUGCUCAGCUUGUACUGAUUUCUUCACUUCCACAAGUAUUUAUGUUCAGUUAGAUGAGUGGACGUUCCAAAAGCUUUAUCUCAGUUCCCUGCUGGUUCGAGAUCCGCACAAGUUUGCUCCCUUCCGUCAUCGGCCUCAUCUAAAGCCUUCAAAGAACCUGCACGCACACACGAUCGGUUGGGCUAAAACCAAAAACAAGCUGGCUCCCCUCCCCGUGAAGCAAACCGCCUCCCUCAGUUCCCUCACCAUGGCAGACGAACCCAUCAUAAGCAGUCGCCCUCCAUGCACACAUGUGAUUCUACUCGCCAGUGAUGAUCCCCAGUCCACACGGCCCUGCUCUACGGCGCCAAUCCUCACCGACAGCCCCUUGCGGCCAUGCUUCUCGUCCGCCUCCAUCGCGCCUCACCGUCGACGGCUGCCCAGCCACCUCUCCUGUGGCGCUCGGUGCCCGUCCCUCACGCGGCCGACGGCGACUCCUCCGUCCUCCACACGGCCGGCAACAAAGACUCCACCACACCGCGACAACGUAGAAGCUCCUCCCUUAGCAGUUUUGUUCUUCCUCUGCGCCAAGUUGGAGGAUCAAACUCUGUGUGUGUAUUAUGACUUCACAGGAAGACGAGGCGCCGGCCGACAGAGGACCCGUGAGCGGGAGGGUGACCGCGAGCGGCGCCGGUGCAGGGGGCGCCGUGGCCACAGGGAGGGACACCGUGGCAGCAGGUGCUGGGGCGCCGUGGUGGUCGGCAAUGGUGCCGUGGCGACGGGGAGGGGCGCCGUGGUGCCCGGCGGAGGAGGCGCGGCGCUGAUGGCGACGGGAAGGGUGGGCGCCGAGGUGGACAUGGUGAGGUCUCAGGGAGAACUCGCGUCUGAUACCAAGUUGGAGGAUCAAACUCUGUGUGUGUAUUAUGACUUCACAGGACCCGGGCGUGCGGGUGGUGUGGAGGACGUGGAGAUAGUUGUGUUCCAACACGCCACCUAUAGAAGAGUUCCUGCACCCGACGCCGCCGAUGCGAUGGUCUGCAUGUGUGGGCACUACUACUGCUACUUGUGCAGAUCCACAAUAUUGAUGUUGCAAAACUUGCAGACGUUUGAUCUAAGAUGCCCGACUGUACUGCAUGGAAGAAAGAUGAUGAAGAGGAAAAUAAAAGUGGGGAUGAGCUCAAUGAAACGGAGAGGGGGGAAAGGAAUAACCAAGAAGGGGAGGGGAGGUCACAACCUCGAAGCCAACGGCAAGUUAAGGCAUCACCUUGAAUUUGUAACUCCAACUUAA